rnacentral:pre_miRNA from 1 species
UCUUAUGGAUGAGCAAAGAAAGUGGUUUAUUGAGAUGGAAGCGUCUCCUGGUGAAGAUGCUGUGAA